GCUGGAGUAGCUCAGUCCGGUAGAGCAGCCGCCUUGUAAGCGGCCGGUCGCAGGUUCGAAUCCUGUCUCCAGCU
rnacentral:tRNA from 2 species